AACGAACGCUGGCGGCAUGCCUAACACAUGCAAGUCGAACGAGACCUUCGGGUCUAGUGGCGCACGGGUGCGUAACGCGUGGGAACCUGCCUUUAGGUUCGGAAUAACUCAGAGAAAUUUGAGCUAAUACCGGAUGAUGUCUUCGGACCAAAGAUUUAUCGCCUUUAGAUGGGCCCGCGUUGGAUUAGCUAGUUGGUGGGGUAAAGGCCUACCAAGGCGACGAUCCAUAGCUGGUCUGAGAGGAUGAUCAGCCACACUGGGACUGAGACGCGGCCCAGACUCCUACGGGAGGCAGCAGUGGGGAAUAUUGGACAAUGGGCGAAAGCCUGAUCCAGCAAUGCCGCGUGAGUGAUGAAGGCCUUAGGGUUGUAAAGCUCUUUUACCCGAGAUGAUAAUGACAGUAUCGGGAGAAUAAGCUCCGGCUAACUCCGUG
rnacentral:rRNA from 1 species